GAGGCCUACGGGACGCAGCAGUGAGGAAUAUUGGUCAAUGGGAGAGAUCCUGAACCAGCCAAGCCGCGUGAGGGAAGACGGCCCUAUGGGUCGUAAACCUCUUUUGUCGGAGAACAAAACCCGGGACGUGUCCCGGACUGCGUGUAUCCGAAGAAAAAGCAUCGGCUAACUCCGUGCCAGCAGCCGCGGUAAUACGGAGGAUGCGAGCGUUAUCCGGAUUUAUUGGGUUUAAAGGGUGCGUAGGCGGUCUGUUAAGUCAGCGGUAAAAUUGCGGGGCUCAACACAGUCGAGCCGUUGAAACUGGG
rnacentral:rRNA from 1 species